UGGGUGUGCUCAGAGGAGGGGGCCUGAAGAAUGGCUCUUCGGUUUAAAACACUCCCAAUAGGAAUCUGAGUCCAUUGGUUUUUGUGG
rnacentral:snoRNA from 1 species